rnacentral:rRNA from 2 species
UACGUAGGGUGCAAGCGUUAAUCGGAAUUACUGGGCGUAAAGCGUGCGCAGGUGGUUUUACAAGACCGACGUGAAAGCCCCGGGCUCAACCUGGGAACUGCGUUGGUGACUGUAAGACUAGAGUGUGGCAGAGGGGGGUGGAAUUCCACGUGUAGCAGUGAAAUGCGUAGAGAUGUGGAGGAACACCGAUGGCGAAGGCAGCCCCCUGGGCUAACACUGACACUCAUGCACGAAAGCGUGGGGAGCAAACAGG